CCAGGGGUUUCACCUGUGAAAACUGCAUUUGUCAUUACAAAGGAUGAACCAACAUGAAGAUCAGAGAGCUGUCUAUAGGAGAAAAUCAAGCCCUUUUGAAGCUGAGAAAAGAGGGGAAUUCAAUCAGAGCCAUCACACAAGCAUUGGGCAUAGCCAAUACAUCAAUCUGGAUUGUCCUGAAAAAGGUGCCUUGAUGGACAGACCUGGUUUGGAUACAAAUGAGACGUCCCCAAUAUGUUGCACACUCUGUGAGUAUGGAGAAGGGAAGGAAGUGCAUACCACCUCAUCUUAUGACUUGGAGGCAUGGAACGAGAAACCAGAGAAAGAGAGAGGAAAAGAAGAAACAGAGCUCGGAGAGAAAGUGGCAUUACUGUCGGACCUACCCAAGAGCAUCCUACACCCUACCACCAGUUCAAGAGGAGAGUUACACAGUCAUUCCCGAAACCUGGUUUUCCCUCAUGGCAGCUCGCCAAGAGAUAUGGG
ensembl:lncRNA